rnacentral:rRNA from 1 species
UACGAAGGGGGCUAGCGUUGUUCGGAAUUACUGGGCGUAAAGGGCGCGUAGGCGGUUUGGUUCGUUAGGCGUGAAAUUCCUGGGCUCAACCUGGGGACUGCGUUUAAUACAGCCAGACUUGAGUGUGGAAGAGGGUCGUGGAAUUCCCAGUGUAGAGGUGAAAUUCGUAGAUAUUGGGAAGAACACCGGUGGCGAAGGCGGCGACCUGGUCCAUUACUGACGCUGAGGCGCGAAAGCGUGGGGAGCAAACAGG